UUGGGCAGGUUUCGAACUAUGGUAUGGACCAUAGUUGUGCAAGUAGUUGUAGAGCUUUCUCCUUUCUGACCACAAAGCAUUUCCGGUCCUGGAGCGAAAUUAGAAAAGCAGCAGCGAUGGCAGACUGGUCAGAACUCCCAAAGGAACUCCUCCGCCUAAUCUCGGAACUCAUAGACAGCCCCUUUUACCUUCUCCGAUUCCGAUCUGUCUGCUCCUCAUGGCGCUCUUCCUCUUCCCCACUCCCCACCCACCUACCCCUCAAGUUCCCCACCUUCCCCUCCGCUACCGCCGCCACCCCUUCCAUCUUUUCUCUCUCCAAACGCACCCUCUUCCUCAUCAACCCACCUCACCAAACCCCACACCGUUCCUGGCUCAUCAAAAUCGGCCAAGACACCCAUGGUCACACCCUCCUCUUCCACCCUCUCUCCCGUUUCCCAAUCAAAUCCAAUUCCAAUUCUAACUUAAUAUUAAACCUAAUCGACCUCCCUGUCUUUGACAUCGAACACGAGUUCAUCCUCGCUGACACGUGUCCCACCUCCCUCAACGCUCUCUACAUGGAGAAAGUCGUUUUCUCCUGGCUGGGUUCCCGAAAAGACGGUUUUGCCCUCCUCACGAUCCACAUAUCCGGAAGGCUCGCCCUCUUCCGGUCCGGGCACCCUGACUGGACUAUAAUCCCCGACAUGCUGACGCCGUACGACGACGUCUGCGUCCACAAGGGCAGCCUAUUCGCCGUUGACAGCACCGGCCGGACCGUGAUCGUUGGCCUUGACUUGAGUCUCACGCCGGUCGCUGACCCGGUCUUUGGCGGUGACAAGAAGUUCCUGGUUGCGUGCGAGGGUGGAUUGUUCUUGGUGGACAAGUACUUGUCCUCUGAUUACCUUUGUGAAUUGGGGGGUUUUGAUGAUGAUGAUGAGGAUGAGAUCUAUGAGCUUGGUUGUGAGAGGGCUGUGAGGUUUGAAGUUUAUAGGUUGGAGGAAAUGGAGAGGAGGUGGGUCGAGGUGGGGAGUUUGGGAGAUAGAGUUCUGUUCUUAGGGGAUGAUUGCGCAUUCUCGGCUUCCGCGUCGGAUUUGGGUAUUGAUGGAGGGGAUUGUGUGGUGUUUAGGGAUGAUACUUUCAACGUGAAUGCUCUGGAGAGCGGGUUGGGUGUGUUUCACUUGGAUAAAGGGAGGAUUUCGCCUUUGUCUGAUUACCCUAGCAUUUCCAAGUUGUUCUGGCCUCCUCCGGAUUGGGUUGGGUUGCAUGGAUUGCACUGAUGAAGAAUUAUGGAUCUUCAGCACCUGCUUUUCUGUGAUUUUAUUGAUGGUGCUACAUUUCCUGUUAUUAGUGCAGUUGUGGGGAUUGGGCUGCACCGAUUCCACAAGGUUGAAGGCUUUGGGAAGUAAGAAAGGGAGCCUUGGAGCAAUGAUUGAGUUGUCUUCGUGUGACUUCAAGGUCAUGGGUUCAAGCCGUGGAAACAGUCACUGAUGUAAUUAUCAGGAUCACUUAAAAUUACUGACGUCCCUAGUGACCUUACACCAACAAAGCUGCUUGCGACAAGGCUGCAGUGGAAGUUGAAUAAAGGCUAGCAUACUUGUUAGUGAUCAGGAAGGCCAAUUUAUCUCACAACAGUCACAUGUCUGGCUACAUGCAUUUUGUUGAGAUUGAUAAGGCUGCUAUUUCAUGUUUUUUGCUGGUAAGCUCAUGAAUUCGGUGUGGAUUGUACAUAAGCUAGAUUUAUAAGCCCAAACUUCUAUCACUGCAAAUCAUGGAGGCAAGGCAUAGUAGCCAUUUUCUAUCUCUGCAAAUAAUUUUCUUGAUAUGUCGGAGCUUGUCAUUUUGAUCACUACUAGGUGAUCAAAAUAUUUGAACGUAGAACUAUUGCUCUUAGUUCCCGUGCCUCUUCUGGCCUGAAUUAAUUCCUUUCUUUUAGAUGUCGAAGGAGUUGCAGAAUGCUGAAUCUUGAAUAUUUCUGUAAUCUAGAACUAUAUGACUAAAUCUGUUAUUCCUUUGGGUGUUUUAUGUAACACAAUUGUGAAUAUCAAUGAUGGAGUUAUCCUA